rnacentral:snRNA from 1 species
AGCUUUGUGCAGUGGCAGUAUCAUAGCCUAUGAGGUUAAACCAAGGUGUAAUUAUUGCUAGCUGAAACCCUUGGGCAACGGGAAUUAGGGAUGUGCACCAGGGAUCCAUGACUGAAUUCAUAAUUUUGUUAUUAUUUCAUUAUU